rnacentral:rRNA from 1 species
UACGUAGGGGGCAAGCGUUGUCCGGAUUUACUGGGCGUAAAGAGCGCGUAGGCGGAAGUUUAAGCGGUGCCUGAAAGCCCCCGGCUCAACCGGGGAGGGUGGUGCCGAACUGGGCUUCUUGAGGGCGAUAGAGGAGAGUGGAAUUCCGGGUGUAGCGGUGGAAUGCGUAGAGAUCCGGAAGAACACCGGUGGCGAAGGCGGUUAGCUGGGCAGUUGCUGACACUGGAGGCGCGACAGCGUGGGGAGCAAACAGGG